AUUGAACGCUGGCGGCAGGCUUAACACAUGCAAGUCGAGCGGGGGAAGGUAGCUUGCUACCGGACCUAGCGGCGGACGGGUGAGUAAUGCUUAGGAAUCUGCCUAUUAGUGGGGGACAACAUCUCGAAAGGGAUGCUAAUACCGCAUACGUCCUACGGGAGAAAGCAGGGGAUCCUCGGACCUUGCGCUAAUAGAUGAGCCUAAGUCGGAUUAGCUAAUUGGUGGGGUAAAGGCCUACCAAGGCGACGAUCUGUAGCGGGUCUGAGAGGAUGAUCCGCCACACUGGGACUGAGACACGGCCCAGACUCCUACGGGAGGCAGCAGUGGGGAAUAUUGGACAAUGGGGGGAACCCUGAUCCAGCCAUGCCGCGUGUGUGAAGAAGGCCUUAUGGUUGUAAAGCACUUUAAGCGAGGAGGAGGCUACUUUAGUUAAUACCUAGAGAUAGUGGACGUUACUCGCAGAAUAAGCACCGGCUAACUCUGUGCCAGCCGCGCGGUAA
rnacentral:rRNA from 1 species